UACGUAGGGUGCAAGCGUUGUCCGGAAUUAUUGGGCGUAAAGAGCUCGUAGGCGGUUUGUCGCGUCUGCUGUGAAAACCUAAGGCUCAACCUUGGGCUUGCAGUGGGUACGGGCAGACUAGAGUGCGGUAGGGGUGACUGGAAUUCCUGGUGUAGCGGUGGAAUGCGCAGAUAUCAGGAGGAACACCGGUGGCGAAGGCGCCACUCUGGGCCGGUACUGACGCUGAGGAGCGAAAGCGUGGGGAGCGAACAGG
rnacentral:rRNA from 1 species